rnacentral:rRNA from 1 species
UUAAAAAGCUCGUAGUUGAACCUUGGGCCUGGCUGGCCGGUCCGCCUCACCGCGUGCACUGGUCCGGCCGGGCCUUUCCCUCUGCGGAACCCCAUGCCCUUCACUGGGUGUGGCGGGGAAACAGGACUUUUACUUUGAAAAAAUUAGAGUGCUCAAGGCAGGCCUAUGCUCGAAUACAUUAGCAUGGAAUAAUAGAAUAGGACGUGUGGUUCUAUUUUGUUGGUUUCUAGGACCGCCGUAAUGAUUAAUAGGGACAGUCGGGGG